GAGGAUGACAUUGAGGAAUAUCUGUUGAGAAUAAUCAAACAUUUUAAAUUUUGAGCGUCUAAAAAUGAUGACCAAAUAAGAGGAACACUUCAAAAUCUAAGAGAAACAUUAGUGCUCAAGAUCCAUAACAACAAAAAUCAGGAAGAAACAUUGAUAUAGAAACAUUAGUGCUCAAAUCCAUAACAAAAAAAUCAGAAGAAACCUUGAUAUAGAAAAUUAGUGCUCAAAUCCAUAACUAGAUAUAGAAAAUUAGCAAGAUACAACAAGUAGAAUCACCGAAUAACCGAAUCACCGAAUAGAAAUCGAAAUUGAACCUUGACAGAAUAGAAAUCAAACCUUAACACAAAUAGAAAUCAAAUCGAACGACCGAAUCACCGAACGAAUAUAAAUCUAAUCCAACGAACAAAAAUCAAAUCGAAGCAAACGCCUUGAGAAUCAGAGAUUUAGAACCCUAACUGAUCUCAGACUUGUAAAAGAGAGAGGAGAGAGGAGAGAAGAAGGAGAGACAACAGACGAGAUAGAGUCGUGAACAUUAGAGAAUAGAGAGAUCGUUCUGAACCCUAGCUAGUAGCUGAUCUUUUAAUUUUUUUUAUCGAAAGACCAAAAUAGACAUACUCCCCAUAAAGAAACAAUAAUAAAUUGUGGGCAAUUAUGACAUUUUGACUCAAUUUCAAAACUCGUCCGGUUCACAAAAAAUCGCCCGAGUCACCAGUUC
rnacentral:lncRNA from 1 species